CUCCCAGUGAGUCCAGUAACUUAGUAUUGUAACGAGACACCUCCCCACCACACACGCUGUAAGGUUUGCUCUGACGGUACGCACGUUAGACGCCAGACGCGCGGCCUAAGAAAGAGAAUUUUAUUUUGAAAAAGUACAACGACGACAGGAAGCCGGUGCUCACGAGCAAAUUAAGUAAUAGAUUUAUAUUUUCCUUUCCAGGCGACAUCGACUGAAAGGAAAGGCGUUUUCUGGCUAAGUUGUCCGGAAGAUAAAAUACAAAGAGUAUCCGUUUUCUCGUUUCUCUUGAUAUGAGCGAAUAACAAAAUUUAUUCACAGCACCGCGUUAAAAACGAAUAAACGAGCUGAAGACUGUUUUUAAAACUAGACGCGGAAUUGGAUUUUAAAACCGUUUCCAGUUUUCUCGUUUAGAGGGUGAAAACGAGGAAACGACUCGUUUACACAGCUUUUAAUCUGGUGGGAUAAAUCAAACUGUUAGAACGUACACGGAUCGUUUUCUCGUUUCUCUUUAUAAAAGUGACAAACUGCAUUUUAUCAAAGCAGCGUGUAAAAAACCAAUAAACGAGUGGAAAACGGUGUUUUCAAAACCAGACAAAUUGAUUUAAAGCCAUUUCCCGUUUUCUCGUUUUGAGGAAAAACGGUGGGGAAAUCAAACUGUUAAACGUACAGACCGAGGAUCUUUGUGAACCUGUUCGGGGAGGGAAGAGGAACUACUUGUCGCAGAUCCUGUGUGCUCGUGACAGGCGCGUCAUCAUUAUCCUUCCGCAAGACAUUGGUUUUCUCUCGGGUUUAUCCAAAUGGGAGGAGGGGUUUCAAGGCUGGAUCACUGUCAGCAAUGUAACCAAGCCUUCACAGCUAAAGCUUCAUCAGCAAGUUCACUCUAGGGAGGGCCCUUUAAGCUGUGACCAGUGUUCCAAAGCUUUUCCUACAAGAGGUAACCUUAAGACCCAUCAGGAAAUCCAUACAAGGGCACAACUGUACACCUGCAACAAAUGCGAAGCAACUUUCAGCAGUUCACAGGCUUUUAAACUCUAUCAACGUGCUCACAGUGGAGAGAAGCAUCACU
rnacentral:lncRNA from 1 species